rnacentral:rRNA from 1 species
UACGAAGGGGGCUAGCGUUGCUCGGAAUUACUGGGCGUAAAGCGCACGUAGGCGGAUCGUUAAGUCGGGGGUGAAAUCCUGGAGCUCAACUCCAGAACUGCCUUCGAUACUGGCGAGCUCGAGUUCGGGAGAGGUGAGUGGAACUGCGAGUGUAGAGGUGAAAUUCGUAGAUAUUCGCAAGAACACCAGUGGCGAAGGCGGCUCACUGGCCCGAUACUGACGCUGAGGUGCGAAAGCGUGGGGAGCAAACAGG